rnacentral:lncRNA from 1 species
CCCGGGGCUCCGGCUCCCGGCGACCGCGGCGCGCUGCCUCCGCCGCCCGCUGCCAGCGGCGAGGACGGACGAGAAUUGGGGACUUGUUUGUUUGGGGUGGGGGUGGGGGGAGGAAAGAAAGAAAGGAAAGGAAAGGAAAAAGGAAAGGAGGGGGAGGGGGAGGGAGAGGCAACGCCGAGGAUCCCGAGAAUCUUGCACCAAACGCGCCCAACCUGGAGAGAGGGGGAAAAAUCCUUCCAGAAGAAUUUGCAGGCGUGGAUUGGGGUAAUUUUUUUUUUUUUUUUUUUUUUUGGCGAGAUGGCGUGGGGGGAUCGGAGUUAGAGGCGGGGGGGGGGGAGUUUCUUGGGGGAGGCAAAAAAAAGUUUUCUCUCCUCUGCAAAAGGCGGGCAGGGCGCCCUAAGUCCAAGGACAAUCCAUGGAAGUGUUCGCUUCUUCACAAGUUGUGCAAACGAUUUGUUAGUUCAUGAGCCUAAUUAGUGCGGGGAUCACAUAAACAGCUUCCUCCGAAGCCUGGUAAAUGGCUUGAUGAUUGGUCGCUAUUACUCGCCCUGAGGUGGAAGGGGGGAGACUCUUUAAAGUGCGUCAGAGGGAGGCAGGCGCCUGGGAACCCGGAGGCCUGGAUCCGGGCCGAGAGUGGAACGGACUCGGCGCCGCUGCCUCGGCUGUGCCUCCGGCGCCCGCCAGGCCGCCCGGCCUCUCCGCGCCCUCGUCCCGCGCUCCCGGCUCACUCGCUCCCGCGGCGCCCGCUGCAGCUUCUCCUCCGCCUCUUUCGCCGCCUCCUCUGCCUUCAGCUUCUUCUCUUCUUCCUCCUCCUCCUCUUCCUCCUUCUUCCUCUCCUCUUCUUCCUCCUCCUCUUUCCCCACCUCCUCUCCCUCAGCCACCGCCUCCUCCUCCACCGCCACCACUCCCUCCGGGGCACCCCGGUCCCUGCAGAGUCCCGGCCGGCGGCGCCUCGGCUGCAGCCCCCUGGAUCCUGAGCCUGCCGAGCCCGAGCUGGUAGGACAGACGGACAGACAGACACGCAGAUUCCUCGCGCCUAGCGCUCCGCCGCGGCCCCGGGUCAGGGGAGCUGGGAUCGCCCCCCGAGUACCGCGAGGUUCGUAUCAGAAUACGUAUCGCUGAAAAAAGCUGAAGAUGAGAGGCAGGGCCACUGAAAGACCCUCAGGAAGGUCCUGGAGCUGAACUGACACAGACCCCCUCAGGGAGACAGAUAGGGACCCUGCUAGCCACCCACUUCUGGAGGCUUCUGAGAUUGCUGCUGCAAUAACUUUAUCAUCAAGACCAUGUGCAUUUCAAGUCACAAAGGUCAGUUUCAUCCUUCUCUUCUCACUGCCCAGAGGCCCCUUGAGAUCUUGUGAAUUAAUGUUUGUUCCAGGAGAUCUGGUUUGCUGUUGGAAAUAAAGCAUCCAUCUGCCUAAGUCCA